rnacentral:rRNA from 1 species
CGAUUCUGGCUCAGAUUGAACGCUGGCGGGAUCGCUUCCACACAUGCAAGUCGAACGGCAGCACGGACUUCGGUCUGGCGGUGUAGUGGCGAACGGGUGGUAUCAUCGGGACGUGCCUAAUGUGAGGAUAACUGCACGGCGUAGCUAAUACCACAUACGCCCUUCGGGGAAGCGAGGCCUUCGGGCCUCGCACUAUUAGAGCGGCCGAUAUCGGAUUAGCUAGUUGGUGGGAGUAACGGCUCGCAAGGCGACGAUCCGUAGCUGGUUUGAGAGGGACGACCAGCCACACACUGGGACUGAGACGGCCGGAACUCCUACGGGAGAGGCAGCAGUGAGGAAUUUUUGGACAAUGGGGGGAAACCCUGAUCCAGCCAUCCGCGUGUGCGAUGAAGGCCUUCUGGUUCGCAACACCUUUGGCAGGAAAGAAACGGCACGGGAUAAUACCACGUGCAACUGACGGUACCUGCAGAAUAAGCACCGGCUAACUACGUGCCAGCAGCCGCGGUAAUACGUAAGUGCAAGCGUUAAUCGGAAUUACUGGGCGUAAAGCGUGCGCAGGCGGUUCGGAAAGAAAAGAUGUGAAAUCCAGAGCUUAACUUUGGAACUGCAUUUUUAACUACCGAGCUAGAGUGUGUCAGAGGGAGGUGGAAUUCCGCGUGUAGCAGUGAAAUGCGUAGAUAUGCGGAGAAGACACCGAUGGCGAAGGCAGCCUCGCAAGGAUAACACUGACGCUCUUUUGCGAAAGCGUGGGAAGCAAACAGGUUGAUACCUGGUGAUCCACGCCCUAAACGAUGUCAACUAGCUGUUGGGGCCUUCGGGCGCGGUAGCGCAACUAACGCGUGAAGUUGACCGCGCCGAUGCAGUCGCAAGAUUAAGAGCUCAAAGGAAUUGACUGGGGACCCGCACAAGCGGUGGAUGAUGUGGUUAAAUUCGAUGCAACGCGAAAAGCGCCUACCCUUGACAUGUCUGGAAUCCAGAAGAGAUUUGGGAGUGCUCGCAAAGGAAACCGAAACACAGGUGCUGCAUGGCUGUCAUUGGCUCGUGUCGUGAGAUGUUGGGUUAAGUCCGCAACGAGCGCAACCCUUGUCAUUAGUUGCUACGAAGGCACUCUAAUGAGACUGCCGGUAUGCAAACCGGAGAGGUGGGGAUGACGUCCAGUCCUCCCCCUUGGCCCUUAUGGGUAGGGCUUCACACGUCAUACAAUGGUCGGGACAGAGGGUCGCCAACCCGCGAGAGGCCAAUCCCAGAAACCCGAUCGUAGUCCGGAUCGCAGUCUGCAACUCGACUGCGUGAAGUCAGAAUCGCUAGUAAUCGCGGAUCAGCAUGUCGCGGUGAAUACGUUCCCGGGUCUUGUACACACCGCCCGUCACACCAUAGAAUUAGGUUUUACCAAGUAGUUAGCCUAACCGUAAGGAGGCGAUUACCACGGUAGGAUUCAUGACUGGGGUGAAGUCGUAACAAGGUAA